rnacentral:tRNA from 1 species
GCCCAAAUGGUGGAAUUGGUAGACACGUUAGUUUCAGGGACUAAUGGCGGCAACGCUGUGCAGGUUCGAGUCCUGUUUUGGGCA